rnacentral:rRNA from 1 species
GGCUCAGGACGAACGCUGGCGGCGUGCCUAACACAUGCAAGUCGAACGAAGCACUUCUGGAUUGAGAUCGUCAAGAUCCGGAUUGACUUAGUGGCGGACGGGUGAGUAAUACAUGAGCAACCUGCCCUGGAGUGGGGGACAACAGUUGGAAACGACUGCUAAUACCGCAUAAUGUAUCCGUAAGGCAUCUUGUGGAUACCAAAGAUUUAUUGCUCUGGGAUGGGCUCAUGUCUGAUUAGCUAGUUGGUGAGGUAACGGCUCACCAAGGCUGCGAUCAGUAGCCGGACUGAGAGGUUGAACGGCCACAUUGGGACUGAGAUACGGCCCAGACUCCUACGGGAGGCAGCAGUGGGGAAUAUUGGGCAAUGGGCGAAAGCCUGAACCCCAGCAACGCCGCGUGAAGGAAGAAGGCCUUCGGGUUGUAAACUUCUUUUAUGAGGGACGAACAAAUGACGGUACCUCAUGAAUAAGCCACGGCUAACUACGUGCCAGCAGCUGC